rnacentral:rRNA from 1 species
UACGUAGGUGGCAAGCGUUAUCCGGAAUUAUUGGGCGUAAAGCGCGCGCAGGCAGUUUCUUAAGUCUGAUGUGAAAGCCCACGGCUCAACCGUGGAGGGUCAUUGGAAACUGGGGAACUUGAGUGCAGAAGAGAAAAGCGGAAUUCCACGUGUAGCGGUGAAAUGCGUAGAGAUGUGGAGGAACACCAGUGGCGAAGGCGGCUUUUUGGUCUGUAACUGACGCUGAGGCGCGAAAGCGUGGGGAGCAAACAGG